CGUUUGAGCGCUCGCGCGCGGCGACCCGUCUGUCUUUUUUUUUUUUUUUUUAAUGUAACCUGGUUCAUUGGGCUCUCGGCGUAUUCUUGCGUUCCUUCUGCACUGGGACAAGACACCACUGCACUAUUGGACUUCGGCGAGCUGGUGCCGUCCGGUGGAGCUUCAUACAGGAACUACUGCCUUACCUGCUGGUGUCACAACGUUGGAUGAACGCGCAAAAAGCGCGGAACGAGCUUUUAUAUACAGCAAAAUAAAUAUUUCCUCAUUGCACAAAA